UACGGAGGGUGCAAGCGUUAUCCGGAUUUACUGGGUUUAAAGGGUGCGUAGGUGGGUUGGUAAGUCAGUGGUGAAAUCCCCGAGCUUAACUUGGGAACUGCCAUUGAUACUAUCAGUCUUGAAUACCGUGGAGGUUAGCGGAAUAUGUCAUGUAGCGGUGAAAUGCUUAGAUAUGACAUAGAACACCAAUUGCGAAGGCAGCUGGCUACACGAAUAUUGACACUGAGGCACGAAAGCGUGGGGAGCAAACAGG
rnacentral:rRNA from 1 species